rnacentral:rRNA from 1 species
AUGCCCGCAGACCUCAGCAGGUGGGUAAUGCAGAUCUACGACCUAGCUAACGAGUGCAUCGUUGUCCUAGGCAGGGGCGAGAUCCCCGUAACAGCCGAAAGCGUCCACCACACCUUGGGUCUUCGCAAUUCAGGGGAGGAAGUGUUCUAUGGGUGGGAUGCAGAAGCAAUAUCUUUCGUAAACAGCAGGUUUAGUUUUCAGAAUGGGUGCGCCCCCGAGAUAACAACCGUCUACACUAUGAUUAAAGAGAUGAAUGGGAGACCAGACGACAACUUCAUGAGGGCCUGGCUGAUUGUGGUAGUUUGCACCUUCAUGUGCCCUACAACGAGCUUAUAUGUCAGCGCUCGAUGCUACCCGAUAGUCGCCGACCUAGAGAAAGUGAAGAGGGCUCAACUUCUGUGCAUUCAUAGUGAAUCAGAUAAAAGCUUCAUUAGGGGGUAG